rnacentral:rRNA from 1 species
UCCUACCGACAGUCCGGCCUAAAAAGCCGGGUGGAGGGGAGGAAGGACUAAGU